CGUACACUCCUACGGGAGGCAGCAGUGGGGAAUAUUGCACAAUGGGCGCAAGCCUGAUGCAGCCAUGCCGCGUGUAUGAAGAAGGCCUUCGGGUUGUAAAGUACUUUCAGCGGGGAGGAAGGCAAUACGGUUAAUAACCGUGUUGAUUGACGUUACCCGCAGAAGAAGCACCGGCUAACUCCGUGCCAGCAGCCGCGGUAAUACGGAGGGUGCAAGCGUUAAUCGGAAUUACUGGGCGUAAAGCGCACGCAGGCGGUCUGUCAAGUCGGAUGUGAAAUCCCCGGGCUCAACCUGGGAACUGCAUUCGAAACUGGCAGGCUUGAGUCUUGUAGAGGGGGGUAGAAUUCCAGGUGUAGCGGUGAAAUGCGUAGAGAUCUGGAGGAAUACCGGUGGCGAAGGCGGCCCCCUGGACAAAGACUGACGCUCAGGUGCGAAAGCGUGGGGAGCAAACAGGAUUAGAAACCCCGGUAGUCCCAUGA
rnacentral:rRNA from 1 species